rnacentral:lncRNA from 1 species
GACACACCCGCCUAUGGUUAGAAGGAGCAAACGAGCCCACCAUUCUGCCCCUGUGAUAGCUACCCUUUUGAGGAAGAACAUUCCAGAACAGAAGACUAGAGACAGAAACUGGUUGCCUUUGUUACCAAGAAGCUCUUGAAAAAUGCAGCAUCAGCCAGAAUCUAAAUUUGUGCAAAUGGGUCAACAGGAAAUUUCACCCAGUCAGACCAACUUCACAAAGGCCCCAUGGGGGCUCUACCACUCAGAGAGCCCUGUUAAGAAAAUUGCCACUUUCAGCCAGACCCUGAGGGCGACGCGGAAGUCUCACCAAGUUCUUCACACCCCUUGUGGCUUCUCCUCCUGGGCUGCAGCUUCUGAGGCACGGGAGCCCCAUCUUCUGGAAUUUUCCCCACACUCUUUCUCUACUGGAGUGAUGGGUUCCUUCCCCGGACAGUAUUCGUUCUGUCCCCUUGUCACCCGUCAUGUCAUCUUUGGCUGGAACGGGCUCAGACAAAGAAUGCUGAAGGAAUGGAUGAAUGAUGAAGCAAUGAGCCAGAUGACAAGCAGGUACUAUAUCUGAUGUUCUGGGGGCCCGUCCUAGGGCCUACACACAGGUG